rnacentral:rRNA from 1 species
UACGAAGGGGGCUAGCGUUGUUCGGAAUCACUGGGCGUAAAGGGCGCGUAGGCGGCCGAUCAAGUCGGGGGUGAAAGCCUGUGGCUCAACCACAGAAUUGCCUUCAAUACUGUUUGGCUUGAGACCGGAAGAGGUUAGUGGAACUGCGAGUGUAGAGGUGAAAUUCGUAGAUAUUCGCAAGAACACCAGUGGCGAAGGCGGCUGACUGGUCCGGUUCUGACGCUGAGGCGCGAAAGCGUGGGGAGCAAACAGG